rnacentral:rRNA from 1 species
ACAGGUGCUGCAUGGCUGUCGUCAGCUCGUGUCGUGAGAUGUUCGGUUAAGUCCGCUAACGAGCGCAACCCUCGCUGUGUGUUACAAGUGUCACACGGUACUGCCGGUCUUAAGCCGGAGGAAGGUGGGGAUGACGGUCAAGUCAGCAUGGCCUUUAUGUCCCUUGGGCUUACACGACACGCUACAAUGGCCAACACAAUAGGUUGCUAAGCCGCGAGGUGGAGCCAAUCCUCAAAGUUAGGUCUCAGUUCAGAUUGCAGGCUGCAACCCGCCUGCAUGAAGAUGGAGUUGCUAGUAACCGCAGGUCAGCUAUACUGCGGUGAAUACGUUCCCGGGGCUU